rnacentral:rRNA from 1 species
AGUGAACGCUGGCGGUAGGCCUAACACAUGCAAGUCGAACGGCAGCACAGUAAGAGCUUGCUCUUACGGGUGGCGAGUGGCGGACGGGUGAGGAAUACAUCGGAAUCUACUUUUUCGUGGGGGAUAACGUAGGGAAACUUACGCUAAUACCGCAUACGACCUACGGGUGAAAGCAGGGGAUCUUCGGACCUUGCGCGAUUGAAUGAGCCGAUGUCGGAUUAGCUAGUUGGCGGGGUAAAGGCCCACCAAGGCGACGAUCCGUAGCUGGUCUGAGAGGAUGAUCAGCCACACUGGAACUGAGACACGGUCCAGACUCCUACGGGAGGCAGUAGUGGGGAAUAUUGGACUAUGGGCGCAAGCCUGAUCCAGCCAUACCGCGUGGGUGAAGAAGGCCUUCGGGUUGUAAAGCCCUUUUGUUGGGAAAGAAAAGCGGCAGGUUAAUACCCCGCUGUUCUGACGGUACCCAAAGAAUAAGCACCGGCUAACUUCGUG